rnacentral:tRNA from 1 species
GGAGCCGUGCCUGAAUAAAGGGUUACUUUGAUAGAGUAAAUAAUGAGGGUGAAAGCCCCUCCGACUCCU